rnacentral:lncRNA from 1 species
GUCCCCACGACCCCCAUAAAGCACAGCUUCGUGGAUGUCAGCGUGGAGAGGAGUUACUUCACCUAUUAGCUGGCAGUUAAAAUGCCAGGUGGAAGCAAAGUGUUGAAACGCAGAAGAGAUGCAUCCCCACCCCGAGGCAUGACGAAACACUUGGAAGAAGGCUCCAUAGUGGAAGUGACCGGGGCCCAGAGAGGUUGCGUAAGCAAUCCACAGCCACAACGCUCACCACAGGUUGGCAGAGCCAAUUCCACACCCAGCAAGUGAUUUUCAUGACUGGGAAGGCGAGAAUCUCGGCACCUGGGCAGGCCGAAAUGAGAAAGGAGGUCUUGCUACCUCCUGGGCUGCAAACAUCUCAAAAUCUCCGACUAGUCAGCUGCAGUUGAGUGUUGCCAGAUGGAGCCGGGGCCAUGUGGCAAUCAGAAAACUAGUCAGGUGGCACUGCUUAGUGCCUCUGAGGUAUUUCACAAACAUGGGGAACAAACACAUUUGGUGUCGCAACCCUGGCCACCCGGAGCUGCCGCGUUGGCUGUUUUGGUUUUUUUUUUUUUUUUUUUUUUUUUGAGAACGGGCCCCUGUGGAUAAGGAGUUUGAAAGCUAACAGCACUAGUGAGACCAGAGGCCAUCUUCGAGCUGGUGGAGCCCAGGAGGACACAGCCCCUUUCUGACCCAAUUCCCUCACAGCCAAAGCCAGAGAGAACGGGAGUGUAACCAAGAGUUACACUUCAAACCCCCCGUCUUUGGACCACUGUCGGGAGUGAGCUGAGCCACUCUCUGUGAAAUUGCGAGAUAGGGACACAAUGCUUCCCGGGGAUGGAGAGCCUUUGUUCCUCGCCUGCCCUUCUUGGAAUGUUCAAGUUCUCCUCCCUCAGUUGUGAUGUGCCCAGUGGAGAAACUCUCUGUCAAGAGGGAAGAGGCUUUGUCCCCUUCCCCGAUGUGAGGGUUCGCUCCCUGCCCCCACAUGAACUCCAGAGAGGAGCCCUCCUUGUUCCUUGUCCCAGCCUCACCUCUCUCAGGUGAGUGGCAGGUGAGUGUCAGCCCCAUGAGACUGGGGCCCCACGUCAACAGUUACUGGCUUGACAUGGUUGGUGUUAGUGUAAUGACGUUCACUAAAGAGAACCAAGUGCGCACGUCACACCUGUAUCUUACAUCCUGAGACAGUAUCCGCUGCGUUUGAACUUCAAGGCUGGGAAACCGCUUGGAGGCAUAGCCAGAGGAAAGCAACCGAGAUCCCAUCAUCCCAUGGGGGACGUCUACUAACUGCUUCUGACACCAGUAUUCCUGUUUAAUCCCAGCAUCAGGGAGAGUGAGCGAGCGCUGCUGUCUGCCAAGGAAAUGAGCUUCUGAGCUCUGAACCCUAAACUUCGGGAGAAGACACGGCUCUGUGAUACCAAAGACUUUCGCUGGCCCUGAGAGUCACCUCUGUGGAAAAGGAAACUGAGGCAUAGAACGACUAAGUAUUUUUCAUAAAAUAUUAUGGCCAGUAGAUCGACAGACCAGGAUAUGAACUCAGACUGACUUAAUCCAGCUGUGAGGGAGUUUGGACUACACUACAAAGACGGGAGGAUGCCUGGAAAAGCAGAGUCUUCAGACAGACAGCAUCUUGGAUAUGCCCACCCAAGACAGCCCCUAGCGGAGGGCAGCUAACUGACUAACUAGAGCUACCCCACCCACAGCAGACAAUGAUUUGGAAAAAUGCUAGAUAUCGUUUGGGACUGCUACGCUUUAAGUGAUUUGUUAUGCAGUCAAGAAAAAAAAAAAAACUCUCCAUUUCCUCAACCAUCUCUUUUUUUUUUUUUUUUCACUACAAAAG